rnacentral:lncRNA from 10 species
CAGAGUCUUACUCUGUCGCUCAGGCUGGAGUGUAGUGGCGCGAUCUCAGCUCACUGCAACCUCUGCCUCCUGGUUUCAAGCAAUUCUCCUUCCUCAGCCUCCAGAGUAGCUGGGAUUACACGCGCCUGCCACCGCGCCUGGCUAAUUUUUGUAUUUUUAGUAGAGAUGGGGUUUCAACCAUGUUGGCCAGGCUGGUCUCAAACUCCUGACCUCAGGUGAUCCUGCCCACCUAAGCCUCCCAAAAUGCUGGUAUUACAGGCAUGAGCCACCGUGCCCGGCCUAAAUAUUUAAUAAAAUAAUGGACGAUGGGUGCCUUCUACUGAGCUCCCGGUAAUUGUGAGUGAGUAGAGGACUUGCCCUGGGGACAUUCAGUGACCUGCUGGGUGUUGCUGAGCUGUGAGGAAGUUCAGGUCUGGCUGCAGUGGUGAGGCUGUGACUCAAUCAAUCACUGCUGAUGCUCCCAGGACCUGCACCAGCUUAGUCCUAGGGGCAAGGAUUUUAACUGUCCACCUCAGUUUCUUCAUUUGUAAGAUGCAAAUAACAGUCACCCCUGCCUCAUGGGAUGGAGCUGUGUAAUGCCCGCAACAGUGCCUGCUGCAUAGAGGGGUUGCUGCCAGCUGCCUCUCCCUCCUUGUCUCUUACCUGCCUGCUGCCUGGGUCAGGAUGAAGAGGGGCCCUUGUGUUGCCCCCACCCUGGCUGCCUGCUAAGGGCCCAUGUGAUCUGCCUGGCAGAGGAGUUUCUUCAGGAAGAACCAGGGCAGCUUCUGCCCCUAGAGGGCCAAUGCCCUUGGUGAGUGCAGUCCCCUGGCCCCAGCCUGGUCCACCUCUGGGAAGAGGGUGCCCAGUUGUGCAAUCCAGGCCCAGGCAGCUGAGCCCUCAUCUCAGCAUCCAGGGCGGAUACUGGAGGGGGCUUGUGGCAUCUGACUCUGUAUCUCCUACCUGCCCCUCUCCUUGGUAGCUGUGAGAAGUCACUGCUUUGGGGAGACCUGAUCUGGCUGUGCCAGAUGGACACUGAGAAAGAAGUAGAAGACUCAGAAUUAGAAGAGGCACACUGGACAGACCUGCUGGAGACCUGAUCCUCAGUGUCCUUACCCCCUCCUACCUCUUUUCUGUGCCACCUGCUGUGGGUCCAGCAGGUUU